rnacentral:rRNA from 1 species
GCUCGUAGUUGGAUUUGUGGCUGUCGCGUGCGGCCUGACACUUUGUGUUAGUGUUUGCUUGCGUCGCCAUCCUUGGGUGGAACCUGUGUGGCAUUAGGUUGUCGUGCAGGGGAUGCCCAUCGUUUACUGUGAAAAAAUUAGAGUGUUCAAAGCAGGCUUAUGCCGUUGAAUAUAUUAGCAUGGAAUAAUAAGAUAGGACCUUGGUACUAUUUUGUUGGUUUGCGCACCAAGGUAAUGAUUAAUAGGGACAGUUGGGGGUAUUCGUAUUCCAUUGUCAGAGGUGAAAUUCUUGGAUUUUUGGAAGACGAACUACUGCGAAAGCAUUUACCAAGGAUGUUUUCAUUAAUCAAGAACGAAAGUUAGGGGAUCGAAGAUGAUUAGAUACCAUCGUAGUCUUAACCAUAAACUAUGCCGACAAGGGAUUGGCGGAGUCUCGUUUUGUCUCCGUCAGCACCUUAUGAGAAAUCACAAGUCUUUG